rnacentral:ncRNA from 1 species
UAUAAAGUUUUAUUUUAGCUUGGAAAUUUGAUUCUUUGAAAAUUUACAUGUAAGUUUGAGCAUUUGAUAUAAAGUUUUUAAAUAGAUUUUUAGGUUUUUAUAUUCGCAGUAUAGAAGUUUAGUUAUUAAGUUAUCUUAGAUUUAGUUAUCAAUAAUAGUAUUGGCAAAGCUUGUGCCAGCAGCCGCGGUUAUACAGGUGAUGCAAUCAAAUUUGAAUUGGCAGGUAAUAAUUAUGUUUAUUAAUAAUUUAAAUUAAAAUUUAUUAGGUGAAAUUUUUAAAUUUUAUUGAAAUUAUUUUUUAAAUUAUGAGUUUACGAAAUUUUUAAUUUAAACUAGGAUUAGAUACCCUAUUAUUGAAAAUGUAAAUUUGUGUGCCCGAGUAGUAGUAGUUAUGUUCUUGAAAUUCAAAAAAUUUGGCGGUAUUUUAGUCUAUUCAGAGGAACCUGUCCUGUAAUUGAUGGUCCACGAUUAAUUGUACUUAUUUUUAGUUUGUAUAUCGUCGUAGGUUGAAUGUUUUUUAAGAAUUGAAAAUGUUCAAGAUUUUUUAUAAGAUAAUAAAUCAGAUCAAGAUACAGCGGAUAAAUAAGAAGAGAUGGGUUACAAUAAAUUUAUUUAUAUGGUAAUAAUAAUUAACAUUGUUAUUUAAAGUGGAUUUGAAAGUAAUAUGAUUAAGUUAAAUUAUAUGAUUUUAGCUCUAAAAUAUGCACAUAUCGCCCGUCGCUCCCACUAUAAAGUGGGAUAAGUCGUAACAGAGUAGGCGUACUGGAAAGUGUGCCUGGAAUGGC